rnacentral:lncRNA from 1 species
AUAAAGUUGUAGGUACUUUCAAGAAAUAUAGUUAACUGUAAGUGCUGUAUUUUAAUAAUCUGUCAAAAAUCAAAAUCAUCAGGAUAAUAUUAGGUAUUGAUUUUCAAACAAGAAUUAGAUUACAGCGAUGGUCAAAAGCAUUUAGAUAUUGCUUUGAAAUCUACAGAUAAGGUAUGGCAGUUUCGUUUUAAAGAACAAGAUGUUAAAGUUUAUGAUAAAAUUGUCAUCAGAAAUACUGUCCACUUGCAGUAUUUACAUAGGAAAAUGUUGGAGGAUGAAGCUCUACCUACUGCCUCAGGUUAAUUUAAAUUCUGAGUUGCAACAACAGCAACAAGCAAGAAGGGCACCAUUAAAUGAAUAUUAUACACAUAAAGCAACAACAGAAUAAAAAACCAAAAUAUGAACACCAGCAACUAAAACAGGAACCAUUAAAUGAAUAUUAUAUACGUAAGUACAAUUUGAUUGAAUAAAAAACAGCGUCAGCGAUGCCUAUGAAAUGAAGAUUGCUGUCAUUUUAUAUGUAAAAUGAUAUGGAGAAUGUCAUCGAGAUGUUCAUUUCCAAGCCAACUGCACGCCGUGUUUUUUCGAUCAUACAGUAUUAUUAUACACAUAAAUAGUAAUAUUAUACACAUAAACAUCCCUUGAUAGAGAUCAACAUUUUGUAGAGCAAUAACAGCAUCAAAUAAUGGAAAUAAUGGACCUUAUUGCACAAAUCAAAAACAAAAUUUCAGCAUUACUACUUUAUUGGUUAUAUCAAUAAAAGAAAUUGAGUUUAUCAGUCUAGAUCCUACAAGCAAGCAGAUCUAUCACAUAAUUUUAAAUGAAGAUUUAUCUAUUAUAGUAAUUUAUUCUAAUAACGAAAAAAAAACUUUGGAUCAAAAAAUAUUUUCUUCUGAUGAGGUUUAUGAAUAUUAAAGUCUGUUGAAGUUUGGCCAUUAUGUGUUGGUAUACAAUUUAUUUAUGAUGUUACAGUAGUUAAACCAUCCGAGUACGAAACAUGUUUAAAAUCCACUAUUCUUAAUGAAUGGAAACUACCAACUUAAGAGGAAGCUAAGAGAAAGGUUCUAUUGGGUGGACUACAAG